CGUGUAGGUGGUCGGGUAAGUCAGAUGUAAAAGCCUUCUGCUUAACAGAAGAAGUGCAUUUGAAACUGCUCGGCUAGAGUACGGGAGAGGAGAGUGGAAUUCCCGGUGUAGAGGUGAAAUUCGUAGAUAUCGGGAGGAACACCAGUGGCGAAGGCGGCUCUCUGGUCCGAUACUGACGCUGAGACGCGAAAGCGUGGGGAGCAAACAGGAUUAGAUACCCUGGUAGUCCACGCCGUAAACGAUGGGCACUAGGUGUAGGAGGUAUUGACCCCUUCUGUGCCGAAGUUAACGCAUUAAGUGCCCCGCCUGGGGAGUACGGCCGCAAGGCUAAA
rnacentral:rRNA from 1 species